rnacentral:rRNA from 1 species
CAGUCGCCGCGGGAAAACGGAGGGAGCUAGCGUUGUUCGGAAUUACUGGGCGUAAAGCGCACGUAGGCGGCUUUGUAAGUUAGAGGUGAAAGCCUGGAGCUCAACUCCAGAAUUGCCUUUGAUACUGCAUGGCUUGAAUCCAGGAGAGGUGAGUGGAAUUCCGAGUGUAGAGGUGAAAUUCGUAGAUAUUCGGAAGAACACCAGUGGCGAAGGCGGCUCACUGGACUGGUAUUGACGCUGAGGUGCGAAAGCGUGGGGAGCAAACAGGAUUAGAUACCCGAGUAGUCCCUGUCUCUUAUAC